rnacentral:misc_RNA from 1 species
AGUUCCACCGCCGUCAAUGCUGAGGAUACGCUUUUUCUUGGCGUUCUCACAGUGGGAGAGCCAUUUCUGCUCAAGUUUGGAAAAAAUCUCCAGAGUUACUUUGCUAAGCUCCAUUUGAGUUCUGAAAACUGCAAUGUACGCGUCGCUCUAAAUGCGUUAGAUGUUUUAUCCGUGAAGAAAGAGUGAAUGUUCUGACUCACGCUUUCUUGAUGAAAGCCAUUUAAUUGCUGCAGAAUGCCCACUCUAUUAACUCUCUUCCAACUAAUAAAACCCCAUCUCUCAUUACCUGAAGAAAUCUCUCUUCUCUUCUUCCCUGGAAGAGAGUGUGUGUGAGUGUGACACUUACACUCUGUGGGCUCUGAAUUGCUGAGAAAGAGUUAUAACCGGG